rnacentral:tRNA from 1 species
CUGACGUGCAAAUGACUGAAACAGUAUUAUUCAAUAUCUUUGUGCUAAAAAUCCUUUGACUGUCAUCUUUAAAGGAGGGUCUCACAGGCACUGUUUUAAUCUUAAGCUCCAGCUCUUCCAGGCAGGAUUUGUCUUCUUCCCCAGGACUCCUCCUCAGAUGUCUUCCCCAUCACACCCCCAACCCCACAACUGCACCUCCUUCCUCUUCCACAAAGCCCAGCUUUCUCUCAAAACUUUAUUAUGCAAAAAGCUUCAAACCCCUCCCCUUGUCCGGGGUCCCUGCCCUGGACACUUAAAAGGCUCCUCUGAGUUUAAAUAAACGAAAAAUCAUUUUUUCCUCAGAAAAAAUAGUGCUGCCAGGUCAUUAAAAUAGAGAUUUUCCGCCUACUUAUUAAGCGCAUUAAAUAAAUGCAAUCCAAGGACUAAUACCAAGAAAUCACUUUCCUUUUAUUGAUAGUUCGAAUUUGACCAAGUGUGAGCCUAGACAGCAAAUAGGCCCGAAUCCCAUGGAAGUCAACUUACAGAAUCGCCACCAGAGGGCGGUAACACCAAAGCAUUCGUAUAUUGCAGGACUAUCUCCUUCCCUCACCCACCAGAGUAACCUAGCCCCUUCUGCUAAAGCAAAUGUUAUCCUCAGUCUUCCUGCUUCAAGUGGUCGCUGCUGGGAACGUGAAACACCAAAUGCAACAUUAUUAGAACAUGGUUUGGGUUAUUUGAGUUUUACACAGCACUUUUUGCCAACUUUAUUGAAAACAUGUUUUCAUGAGAACCAAUCUUAUUCCACCUACUGCCAGCUAAAUUUAUCUCCGCAGAGUUUAACAACACAGAGUGAUUAAUUAGGGACCAAGCCAUUUCCUGAGCACUUAACUGAUUUUGUGACUAUGAGUCACCCUUGUUGUUUUAGACAUCUGUCCCUGAAUAAAAUGCAUUUAUUUAUGCUUUCCGAAGUUUUUGAUCUCUUGUUUUUCUUCUUUCAAAGGUGACACAGUUGUUGGAAAAGCAAAGCUGUUUAUUCCUCUUUCUUUAAAAAAAAAAAAAAAGGCUNNNNNNNNNNNNNNAGCAACCCCAUUAAGAGCUAAGUCAUAUGUUACUUCUGCUCAGAUCCCUCUAGUGGCUUCUCCUCUCUAAGCAAAAAUCAUUUCCUUACAUACAUAAGGCCCAUAGGCUCUGUCUAGCCCGCAUUCACGCUGUCGUCUUCUUUCCACUCUCCCCCAGCCAUGCUCCUUGCUAGCCAGUAUGCAUGCUCUACCUCAGGAUGUUUGUACCUGCUUGCUAUUUUUCUUGGAUCGUCUUUUCUCACUGCCACCUGCAUAACUAUGGAAGUCUUCCUUCACUUGCUUCAAACAUCAUCUUCUAAGUAAGUCUUUCCUGGCCUUUGUACCUUAAAUGAAAACCAUCACUCACCCAUACCCAUAUCUUCACGCUCUUUAUCCUUUUCCUUUCUUUAUGUUUUUUACUUUAGCAUUUCCACUAACAUUCCAUGCCCUUUAAUUAUUUAUGUACUUUAUUCCUUGUUACUUUACAAAAAAUUGUAAGCUGCCUGCUGCUGCUGCUGCUGCGAAGUUGCUUCAGUCGUGUCCGANNNNNNNNNNNNNNNNNNNNNNNNGCCCACCAGGCUCCCCCGUCCCUGGGAUUCUCCAGGCAAGAACACUAGGGGUAGGCUUUUUAAAUAUAGCUUCUUCACUGCUAUAUUUCCAACUCCUAGAAUAAUAUGUCGCACACAGUAGGAACUCAACAAAAGUUUAUUGAAAGGAUGAAGAAACAAAUUAACAACGAAAAACUAGAAGUGCUUACUUCAGCCACCUUGUCUGUUCCUUCUCAUCAGCCACAUCUCUACUCAAUAAUCAUCUCUCUCCACACUAAGCAGCCCUUAUUGGAAGUCUUUUUCCUGAUUUAUUCUUCAUAGUCUUCACUAUUGCCAAAUUUUGUUCCUCAAAUAAUUGUUUACUUUAAAUAAAUAAUUUAUCUUAAACAUCAUGAGGGCAAUAAAUUGAAAAGGCAACCUACAGAAUGGGAGAAAAUAAUUGCAGACCAUCAUGAAAAUUAACAGAGGGAAACCUGAGUAAAACAGGGUCAGGAGGCCAGAAGCAGAAGCUCUCGUGUAUGUACCACACAAGUCAAUUCAGGGCCCAACAGGAAGAGAUGUACCUUGCACCUCUGGCAGGAAGUGACAGUCCUUUACUAUAGCUAGCAGGAGAAAGAGCUUUUCUCAGCCUGGCAACAGUUUUGCCAAUGAGAAAUGGCCACACCUCAGCCAAUGAACUCUCAGCUUCCUCCCAUGGACUUUUAGUUUAUAAUAGCCCCUUCCAAUUUUCCAUACUCCUCUAUAAAGGAGUUUUCUCUCUUUCGCUUUAUAGGAUUUGCAUGAGGUUUGCCACAGCUGUAUGUCCCAAUUUGCAAUUCUCUAUUGCUCCCAAAUAAACCAGUUUUGCUGAAAAAUAACUGGGCAUUUUUUGUUUUAGAUUAACACUAUAUAUUUGAUAAGGGGUUAAUAUCCAAAAUAUAUAAAGAACUCAAUACAACUCAAUAGCAAAAAGCCAAAUAACCCGAUUUUUUAAAUGGACAGAGGGAAAAUAGACAGUUUUUUCCAAAGAAGACAUCCGAAUGGCCAAUAGGUAAUCAACUUCAUUAAUGAGGGAGAUGCAAAUUAAAAUCACCAUGAAGGACUUCCCUGGUGGUCCAGGGGUUAAGACUCUGUACUUCCACUGCAGGGGGGCACAGGUUCAGUCCCUGGUCAGGGAACUGAGAUCCCACAUGCCGGGUAGUGAGGCCAAAUAAAACAUAAUAAGUAGAUAAAUGAUAGAUAGAUUAAAANNNNNNNNNNNNNNNNNNNNNNNNNNNNNNNNNNNNNNNNNNNNNNNNNNNNNNNNNNNNNNNNNNNNNNNNNNNNNNNNNNNNNNNNNNNNNNNNNNNAAACAUAAUAAGUAGAUAAAUGAUAGAUAGAUUAAAAAUAAAGCCACCAUGAGAUAUCACUGAACACCUGUUAGGAUGGCUGUUUUCAAAAAGACAAGAGUUAAAAAAUGUUGGUGAGGAUGAGGAGGAAAGGGGACCCUUAUCCAUUGUUGGCUGGAAUGUACAGCAAUAGUAGAAAAUAGUAUGUGGUUCCUGAAAAAAUUAUGUGAACUACCAGAUGACUUGGCAAUCCCAUUCCUGGAUGCAUACCCAAAGUAAAUGAGAUCAAAAUCUCAAAGAGCUAUCUGCACAUCCAUGUUCAUUGUGGCAUUAUUUACAGUGGCUAAUAUAUGAAAACAUGCUACGUAUCCAUUAAUGGAUGAAUGGAUAAAGAUGUGAUAAUAUACAGUAGAAUAUUAUUCAGCCAGGAGAAAAAAAGGAAGUCCUGACAUUUGCAACAGCAUGGAUGAACCUGAAGGACAUGAUAUGAGUGAAAUCAGCCAGACAGAGAAAGACAAAUACUGAAUGCCAUCACUUACACGUGGAAUUUUUUAUUGAAAAAAGUCAUGCUCACAAGAACAGAAAGUAGAAUGGUAGUAACCAGGACCUGGGGGUGGGGCAGGGGAAGGAGUGUGGUGAAGAAGUUGAGAUACAUUGAUAAAAGGGUACAUGCCUUCAGUUAUAAUAUGAAGAGUUUCCAAAGACUGAGGGUAUAGCAUAGUGACUAUAGUUAACACUGCUGCACUGUACAGGGCUUCCCAGGUGACACAGUUGUAAAGAAGCCACCUGCCAAUGCAGACAUGCAAGACAAGCAGGUUUGAUCCUUGGCUUGGGAAGAUCCCCCAGUGUAGUAAAUGGCAACCCACUCCAGUAUUCUUGCCUGGAAAAUUCCUUGUGCAGAGGAUCCUGGCUGGUUACAGUCCAUGGGGUCGCAAAGAGCUGGACACAACUGAGCAGCUGAGAGCACACACUGUAUUACAUAUUUGGAAUUCAGUAAUAAAGUAGAUCUCAACUGUUCUCAGUAUGCACACACACACA